GAUGAACGCUAGCGACAGGCUUAACACAUGCAAGUCGAGGGGCAGCGGGGGUAGCAAUACCCGCCGGCGACCGGCGCACGGGUGAGUAACGCGUAUGCAACUUACCUAUCAGAGGGGGAUAACCCGGCGAAAGUCGGACUAAUACCGCAUGAAGCAGGGGCCCCGCAUGGGGAUAUUUGCUAAAGAUUCAUCGCUGAUAGAUAGGCAUGCGUUCCAUUAGGCAGUUGGCGGGGUAACGGCCCACCAAACCGACGAUGGAUAGGGGUUCUGAGAGGAAGGUCCCCCACACUGGAACUGAGACACGGUCCAG
rnacentral:rRNA from 1 species